rnacentral:sRNA from 1 species
UGGUCGCAGGUUCGAAUCCUGCACGACCCACCAAUUUCAGCAUUUAACUCAGAUGUUGAACGUGAAGGAUAACGUUGCGUCAGCAACGGCCCGAAGGGCGAGGCGAAGCCGAGUCAUCCUGCACGACCCACCA